UACGUAGGGGGCAAGCGUUGUCCGGAUUUAUUGGGCGUAAAGAGCGUGUAGGCGGUCAGAUAGGUCCGUUGUGAAAACUCGAGGCUCAACCUCGAGACGCCGAUGGAAACCAUCUGACUAGAGUCCGGAAGAGGAGAGUGGAAUUCCUGGUGUAGCGGUGAAAUGCGCAGAUAUCAGGAAGAACACCCGUGGCUAAGGCGGCUCUCUGGUACGGUACUGACGCUGAGACGCGAAAGCGUGGGGAGCGAACAGG
rnacentral:rRNA from 1 species